ensembl:snRNA U2 U2 spliceosomal RNA
AUCGCUUCUCAGCCUUUUGGCUAAGGUCAAGUGUAGUAUCUGUUUAUCAGUGUAAUAUCUGAUGCGUCCUCUAUAUGAGGACUACAUAUUAAAUUGGUUUUUAGAACAGUGAGACGGAAGAGUGUCCUGCUCCAUCCGCUCCACACAUCGACCUGGUAUUGGAACGGUGCACCUCCU